GGACUACCAGGGUUUCUAAUCCCGUUCGCUCCCCUGGCUUUCGCGUCUCAGCGUCAGCAGACGUCCAGGACCUCGCUUUCGCCACGGGCGUUCCUUCCGAUCUCAACGCAUUUCACCGCUCCACCGGAAGUUCCAGGUCCCCCUACGUCCCUCCAGGCCGGUCGUAUCCGCGCCCGUUCCCCGGUUGAGCCGGGGGAUUUCAGCGUCGGACGUGCCCGCCCGCCUACACGCGCUUUAAGCCCAGUGAUUCCGAAUAACGUUCGCACGGUUCGUCUUACCGCGGCUGCUGGCAC
rnacentral:rRNA from 1 species